rnacentral:rRNA from 1 species
ACGGAGGCAGCAGUGGGGGAUAUUGCACAAUGGGGGAAACCCUGAUGCAGCGACGCCGCGUGAGUGAAGAAGUAUUUCGGUAUGUAAAGCUCUUUAAGUUGGGAAGAUAAUGACGGUACCAACAGAAUAAGCCCCGGCUAACUACGUGCCAGCAGCCGCGGUAAUACGUAGGGGGCAAGCGUUAUCCGGAUUUACUGGGUGUAAAGGGAGCGUAGACGGCAUAGCAAGUCUGAAGUGAAAUCAUAGGGCUCAACCCUGUAAUUGCUUUGGAAACUGUUAAGCUCGAGUACCGGAGGGGCAGGCGGAAUUCCUGGUGUAGCGGUGAAAUGCGUAGAUAUCAGGAAGAACACCGGUGGCGAAGGCGGCCUGCUGGACGGUAACUGACGUUGAGGCUCGAAAGCGUGGGGAGCAAACAGGAUUAGAUACCCUGGUA